rnacentral:misc_RNA from 1 species
ACAAACUUGGUCAUUUAGAGGAAGUAAAAGUCGUAACAAGGUUUCCGUAGGUGAACCUGCGGAAGGAUCAUUAUUGAAUUCAUCUGCUGGGUUGAUGCUGGUGUCAAUUGGCACAAGUGCACGCCUGGUCUUUGAUUUUUUCCACCUGUGCACUUUAGUAGGCCGCUCAGAGCCUUGGCUGAUUGUCUGAUCCUCAAUGGUAAUGUCUUUACCAUUGGAUAGGAAGAAUGAGUUGUAAUGGCUCUUCUUCUGAGGCUUUCAGCCAAGCAGAGAGGAUCUACGUUUUUUUAACAAACUACUGUAUGUCGAGAAAGUUCAUUACUGGUUGAAAGACCUUUAAUCUUAACACAACUAUUGACAACGGAUCUCUUGGCUCACGCAUCGAUGAAGAACGCAGC